rnacentral:lncRNA from 1 species
GCUGUCAAGUGAGGAUGCAGGCCUACCUAGCAUAGUUCAUUUUUUUCCUAAAGAUAUUGGAAAUCUGAAUUUGCAUGACAGCUACUGAUUUUUAAAUGUUGGCAAUUUAAAGUACUAAUAAGGGAUCAUUUAUUUGCUUGGGAACGCCCAUUAUGUAAUAAUUGCACUGAGGGUGAAGAGAUAUGAAAGGAGCGAGCCGGUCCCUCAGGCUUUCAGAGUUCUCAGUCACUUUUGGGUAAUUGCCCAUCUCUUUCAGGAAAUAGAAUUGAUUUCUUAAGGCCCACUCUGCAAAACCUGGGCUAGAGAUGUGCACUGUUGCUUUGGUUCUCUUUGGGCAUCAUCGGAAGCUGGCCACACUAGUGUCACACUCCAUGAGGUUGCCUGACCCUGUGUCAUCCUGUGUCAUCGUUUUCUCUCUUAGCUCAGAAUGCAAGCUCAACACCGCAGAAAUGCUGCCCGCCUCACCACUGGGCACAUAGUGGGUUCUUGAUAAAGAUUUACUGACUAUAAGGAGGAAAAGUGACUCAGUCUCCCACACCAUAAAGGACUCAGAGACUUUUUCCAUGGUCAGCGCUCUAAGGAAGCUGGGAAGUCCAAGAUAAAGUCCAAGAUCAAGUUUCCAACAGAUUCAGUGUUUGGUGAGAAUGUGUUUUUCAUAGAUGGCCUAAGAGUCAUCACCUGGUGAAAGAGAAUUCUAUAAGUGCAAGAAUCCUUAGGAUCCAGUCACUCCCCCCAAUAAAGUCUUAAUAUCAACACAUGGUGAACUAAAUUUGACCAUAUGAAUUUUGGAAGGACGCAAACAUUAAGCACUAAACAGGCUCUGGAGAAUGUGAAGCAGAUAAAUGUACUUAAUUUAUCACUACACAAGAAACAGCCAUGAGUCUCUCCUUUCAGUCUCUUCUGAAUUCAUGGGAAAGGUGCAGGAGAGGUACGUCUCCAGGAACCAGAAGCUCUGUCACUUAUUUAUAAUGUGUGGUUCCAUGUCCUUGUCACUCGGAGUCUUUCAGCUGAGCCACACAUUUACUUAAAGAGUGAGAAAAAGAGAGUAAGCACCACUAAGGAAAGUAGUUUGGACACAUAAAG